UACGUAGGGUGCGAGCGUUAAUCGGAAUUACUGGGCGUAAAGCGUACGUAGGCGGCUUUGUAAGUAAGAGGUGAAAGCCUGGAGCUCAACUCCAGAACUGCCUUUUAGACUGCAUCGCUUGAAUCCAGGAGAGGUGAGUGGAAUUCCGAGUGUAGAGGUGAAAUUCGUAGAUAUUCGGAAGAACACCAGUGGCGAAGGCGGCUCACUGGACUGGUAUUGACGCUGAGGUACGAAAGCGUGGGGAGCAAACAGG
rnacentral:rRNA from 1 species